rnacentral:hammerhead_ribozyme from 1 species
AUUCGGCUGACGAGUCCCAAAUAGGAUGGAACGCGCAUCCCGGAU